rnacentral:rRNA from 1 species
UACGGGGGGAGCAAGCGUUGUUCGGAUUUAUUGGGCGUAAAGAGCGUGUAGGCGGCCAGGUAGGUCUGCUGUGAAAACUCGAGGCUCAACCUCGAGAUGUCGGCGGAAACCAUCUGGCUAGAGUCCGGAAGAGGAGAAUGGAAUUCCCGGUGUAGCGGUGAAAUGCGCAGAUAUCGUAAGGAAGACCAGUGGCGAAAACGGGUCUCUGGACAGUUCCUGACGCUGAGGCACGAAGGCCAGGGGAGCAAACGGG